UGUUGGGUUAUUCCAGCCAAAGACAUUUCAAGUGCCUGUAACUGAUUUGUAUAUAUUUAUAAAGAUCUAUUCAGAAAUUGGUCCAAUGAUGCACGUGCUUCGCACUGGGUGCAGCCGGAACCCUUCAGCCUCCCCUGUGGACUUGGCGGGAUGUUCCUGAGCAGCGCGGGAGAGGCUUAUGAUCUCACUGCUGCCGAGCAGACCAUGCUGUCUUCACCAAGGUCACAGGGGCAUUUCAUCGCUGGCGGGGUUGAGCAGGUAAUUUCUCAAAGAUCUUACGGAAACCCAGAGUCAGUCAGGCGUCUAAAGGAAGGCGGGGAAGAGGAGAGGCCGUGGACCUGGGUGAAGAGGUCCAGGAACUGAAGAGACGCCAGUGGAAUCUCAGGAAGUCCAGAGUCCUGUUCCUAUCCGGGCACUUGCAGACAAGGCCCGGUCCUCCGCCGCAUCUCGCUGGGGGACGUCAGGAUUAGAAGAGCAUCCCCACACAGGGCCCAGGUGCCACUCCGAGGGACCCCGCGCAGGAGCCGUGGCGCGUUCUCAGGCAUCUUGGACUGGAGGUCCAAUCAGAGAUCACACUAUGGAUGGAUGACGUUUCUCAUGACUUCUCUGACUGGAGAUGCGGAGGACUAGGACGUCACCCAUCUGGAGUCAUGAGUCCCUCCUGAUAGAGCAGGACAUGUUGGCCUCAUGGAAAGCAACAUGGCAAACUCUGGAAGUCAGCCUGGCCGAGCUUGAUGCGCAUUCAAGUGGGCUGAUGCUCUGUGGUACAGAUGGGUAUGGGCUUUGCAGUGCUGUCUUCCUCAUUGCUAUGGUCGCUGGAGUAGCAGAGCUUUGUCCACCACAAGCAGCUCUGGGAAGCGGUGAAGAGCCCUUGAAACCAUUGGGAGAGAGAGCUCUUCCAGGUGGAGUCGGAACCCUGCCAACCAGGUGAGCAGCCAGCCUCCCCUGCAAUACGGAGUAUUCCAGAAGCAUCUCACGUAGAACCGCCAUCAAAAAGCCAUGAGAGAGAUGCAGCCGCUGAGGAAGGUGGUCCGGCACAGUUUCUCAGGGAGGUAAGCAUCGAAUUUUCACAGGAUUGAGUGUUUGUGAGCAUUGCCAUAACAAAGUGCCACAGACUGAGCGGCUUAAACAACCGAAAUUGAUUACUUCCAGUCUGGAGGCUGGAAGUCCAAGAUGAAGGUGUGGGCAGCGUUGGUUUCUCGGGAGGCCUCUCUCCUAGGCGUGUGGAUGGCCCCCUUCUCCCUGUCUUCACAUGGUGUUCCUUCUGCCCAUGUCUGUGUCCAAAUUUCUUCUUCUAAUGAGGUCACUAGUCAUAUUGCGUUAGGGCCCAC
rnacentral:lncRNA from 1 species